UUAAAAUUUAAAUACGUUAUUAUUAUUCCAACCCUUUCAUAAUCAUAUUGGUCACUAAAAAGGGGCCCAAUUAUACAUUGACCAAACAUUUAUUAGCUAAAAUUAUUGGGCCACUGUUACACUAAAAUCCAAUGUCUAGUAGACAUAUUUCCACGGUAGGCUAGUACGUUUUCAAACCUAUAAACGACAUGUAGUUGAUUCAAAGACAUUGAUAGAGCUCCGAAUCGAGGCGGGGUUUGAUAAUCACUUCAACUGGAUUAACCUUCGGCAAAGCAAUCCCCUGGCCUUCCUUCAUAUCCACAGGCAAGCCUGCAACCGUCGUCAAAUCAAAUCCCUGAAGAAGCCGAGCAAGGGUUAAGUGAACCACUUGCAGGCCAAAAGUAAUAGCAGGGCACGAUCUUCUCCCAGAGCUAAAAGGAAUAUACUCGAAAUUUUGACCCCUAACAUCAAUAUGAGCAUGAGUUGUGAGAAAUCUCUCAGGUUGAAACUGGUUUGGAUUUUUCCAGACAAGAGGGUCUCGUUGUAGCUUCCAUAUGUUAACUACUAGUCGUGUGCCCUUGGAGACAUGAUACCCACCCAGAUCACAGUCUUCCAUGGCCUGACGUAUUCCUGUUAGAGGGCCAGGUGGGUAUAAGCGUAGAGUUUCUUUGACAAUUGCCUGCAGAUAUUUCAGUUUGGGAACAUCUGAUUCUUGCACCCACUUUUCUUUCCCUACAUGAACGUCCACCUCUUCUUGGGCUGCUUUCAGCACGCUUGGGUUGUUUAGUAGCAGAGACAAUGCCCAUGUCAAUGUAACUGCUGUGCUUCCAGCUCCGGUGAGGGUUAGAAUCAUAGUAGUUGCCUUGAUGACAGUAUCACGCGUAUGACCAGACAUCACAGCAUCUUCAGCCAGGUUUUCAAGCAUGAUGUCCAUCAAGUCACUUUCUCCAUCCAUGUCUUCUUUCAACAAUCGUUUUUUAACAUGUUCCUCCAGCCAAGUGCUUAUCACUGCGUCAAGUUCCUUGGCAGUCCUCUUCAUGGCGCUGAUAUGCCCCAUAUAAUCCAUCCAUUCCAACCAUGGAAUUGCAUCUGACAUCACAAAUGUCCCACUCAAAUAUAGAGCUUCUUCUAUGGCCUUUUUGUACCUCCAGGCUUCGCUGUUUUCUUCCCCAUAUGUGCUGCUUGAAAAUCUCUUCCCAACUAUCUUUCUUAAGCUUAUAUUGAACGUAACUUGCUCGAACAACUUGCAUAUAGUCACCUUGGAAGGAUUUCUCGCAUUCUCUACAUAUAUAUUAUGCAAAUCUUUCAAGAACAUGUUAACUUCCGAUAACCGGACAUGCUUAAGCAUUUCAAGCCGGUGGUUCGAUAGAAGCUGAAGAGUAGCCAGCUUUCUAAUGUCCCGCCAGUAUGCUCCAUAUGGGGCUAAUGCAAGGAUUGCAUUAUUGUAACCCAUGUGUUUUCCAGCUGCUAUGCUUGCUCUGGUAGCAAAAAUUCUGUCGUUCGUAGCCAAGCAUUCCCUUGCCAUUUCCCAACCACUCACCACUAAUAUUUGGUUCAGACCCAGCCUGAGUGAAUAAAUUGGGCCAGCUUUAUCAGCAAUGGCUCCAAGGAUUUUACAAGCUGGUUCUUUGCCACCUAGGAGAUGUAGGUGACCAACAAAGGGCCAUGCCCCGGAUGGUUCAGGUACUCUGUUUUUCUUGCCUUUUCUCUCCCUGGUUAUAGACAUGGUUCUCCAUAAACCAUAGAGAAAUAUCAAAACAAGAGCCAAUUGAAUUGUUUGGAAAUGAAAAGAGAAGUCCAUGGUGAUCUAGGGAG
rnacentral:misc_RNA from 1 species